AAGAGUUUGACUACUUUAAAUAUCUCAUGAAAAUUCAGUCUCAGAAAAAUAUUUUUAUUCUAUUUGUUUGAUGUGUAACAGCUUACAAAAUGCUUACAUGUACAUGAAGUGUUUGGCAUUCUCCGUUUUAUAAUACAGUAUACCUAGUCCAUUAUUUUCAGCCUGGGACAGAAACACUCAUUUCUGGAAUGCAUCCAGUUUCUUCAAUCUGGCACGGGCUUGCUCACCUGUGUGUACCAGUACAUGCAUUUUCUCAGCCUUGGUUAUUGUAUUAGUCCAUUCUCACACAGCUAUAAAGAACUGCCUGAGACUGGGUAAUUUAAUAAAGAAAAGAGGUGUAAUUGACUCAUAGUUCCGCAUGGCUGGGGAGUCCUCAGAAAACUUACAACCGUGGCAGAAGGCACAUCUUCACAGGGGAAGAAAACUUGGACCUUCUUACGUGGCGACAGGAAAGAGAAGAGUCCGGAGCGAGGGUGAAAGAGCCCCUUAUAAAACCAUCAGAUCUCAUGAGAACUCACUUACUAUCAUCAGAACAGCAUGAGGGAAACCGCACCCAUGAUCCAAUUACCUCCACCUGGUCUGACUUUGACACCUGGGGAUUAUGAAGAUUAUAGGGAUUAUAAGUGAAUAGGAGAACGGCAUGGGGACACAGAGCAUAAUUGUAUCAGUUAUUUUCUCCACACUUCUUCAUUGCACCUUUCCUUCUCUGUCAAGGCAACAUCACCGUAACCCUUCUCUUACAUAUCUUCUCUGACUGUCCCUAUUAUUAAAUAAACACCCUCAUCUAUGCUCCAAUAAUACACUAUUUACUACUUCUUUUGACGCAUUUAUUAAUCCUUCCAUUCAAUAAUUGUUCACUGAACACCUCCUUUAUAUUUGGAACUGAGGGUAUAAUUGAAAGUAGUAAUACCCGUGAUGUUUUUCCUCCUAGAGUUAGGUCUGGUUUAAGAAUUGCUCCUGCAUCAGACAUUUCAGACAUAUUAAAUGCAUAUGUGUUUGUCGCCCUAUUAGAUUCUGAACUCUCAUCUGGGACAGGAGCUGCAUAUCUGAGCAUUUAGGGCUGGGGAAAGUGGUACUCAGUGAAGUUUUGACUGAAUGGUUACCCAAAGAACUUUGCAUUUGUUUAGUCUAAUUCUCAAUCAACUGACCAGUAAAUCAUUAGUAAACUAUUCAAUUAUCUUGGUAGAGUUGGAAAUAUAUUUUAAGUAUUCUUGCAAUGCAGUGUUCUGCAUAAAAUUAGAGCUCACUAAAUCUUCUUUGAUUAGUUGAAGGCCACUAUGGAUUCACCCCUAUGCCAUAAUACAUAUGAAUGAGUCUAAUAAUAAGAUAAAGCGGUUAUGUGUCACUGUUUCUGUUUACUGGGCAUAUUCGAUUGAGUAUGUAAUCACACCUUAGCUCUAAUGACAUCAGGUCUGUGAAUGUAAGGUUCUCUGUUCAGUGUCAAGGCAUGGUCAUUAACACGGACAAUAUAGAUCAGCGAGCAUCAUAUAUAACUGCAGCUUCCAAUAUCUUGGUUCAUGUUUUUAACACACAUUCCCAUAAUUUCUCUCUUGCCCCAGUAAUUAAUAAUAAGAUUAUCAAAAGCCAUUCAUUCAAUGUUUGAAAGAUGUAAAAGAUGCCUCCCAAUACAUACUUAAUGGGCAAAGGUGAUGCUAUGUUUGUUUUGAUGGGGAUGUUUAUCUGCCAGUUAUAAUGAGAGCUCAGCAAACACAUGAUUGGCCUGUUACCAGCACAUGAGAUAAAAACAUUCUGGAGGAAAAGAAGUCCUUAUGCCUCACUGGUUCUGUCUCUAUCAAGUAGACACCAAAAUGCUUGACAUUAGAGAGAAGAGGCAUACAUAAGGAACUACAAGAAGAUAUGACAACAUUUUUUUGUUGGACUGAAAAUUUUAAAGCUGAUACAAUAUAAGCUCAUGUAUUUUGCAAUCAACUAAGGAGUUACAA
rnacentral:lncRNA from 1 species